rnacentral:lncRNA from 13 species
CUUUGAUAUUUAUAAUGGAAUAUUCCCGUGCUGUAUGCGUGUAUUAAAAUAGUGAGCACCGAUGUGCAUUCGUGCCAGCGACGAUACUUAAAACGUUCUCUCGAUGCGCGUGUUGGUUUCCCCUUAUUCCAGCUCGAGAUCAGACGCGCCGGCGUUAUUUGUGCUGGCCGUCGCAAUUUAUUUGGUCGAUCAUUCUCGUUAAUUAUGCAGUUAUGCGCCGCGCGCGGUCGAACGGGCCGCUGCGCGCAUACGUGCCGCGCGUCUAUCGUAAUAAAGCGCCGAACAGUUUGCAGCCUUGAAAAUCUUUAACAGCGACCAGGGCGAAAUUCCGUGCUAGCCAGCGGCUGGCUGUAAAAAGCGUGGCCGGGUAUCGCUGUAAAAUGCAUUAUAUUGGGAAGAAAACAGGAAGACUGUUAGACAUGUGAUAUAGGGCUAUAAUUAGACGAUGGUCAAGUUCCUGGGAUAUGUAUCUUUUCAUAAAAAAAAAA